AAAUAGAACUUUGCAGAGAGAGUUAACAGGGCGUGAAACCGUUAAUUGGCAAACGAAUCGGAGCAACGAAGUCGUUUCGCUGAUUAGUUGGGCCAAGUUCAGUCCAAGAUCGCAAGAUUUUGGGUGUAUUCUUGUAGUCCAACCUAACAUUGUAAACGUACACUGCAACCAGUUAGACGAUUGGCGAUGGGCCCAGCUGGUUGGGGAGCAAUCCCCGGCUAGCGCAGCUAUUGUCCGUUUGAGCCAGCAGCAGCUUGGUGCGCCUCGGCGUAUUCGAGUUGUUGGGCGCAGGCGGGAGAACUAUCGCCAAACACUGACUGGCAAAAUAAAAAUCACUCGCAGAGUGUUUGAAUAGAACGCGGCCGUCCACAUGGGUGUCCACAUGCUUGACCGUUUGGCUUAAGCUCAGCAUUUUUAAAUUCAAACUUGCUUGCUACCAGUGGGGCAACUCCUGGUGCUUGUAUUGCUUUGUCUAAUUGGGUGUUGACUUGGUUAGGCGUCGUUCGAGCAUGCAACGAUCGGGCGCCUAUGUGAGGUGGUUCGCAAUCAUUGGCAGUGAGUAGGUCGGCUUUCCGAACGA
rnacentral:rRNA from 1 species